rnacentral:rRNA from 1 species
CUUUUUGAACGUUGAUCUCAAAUCAGGAGAN